rnacentral:sRNA from 1 species
GCCAGGCUUGGUGGCACAUGCCUGUAAUCCCAGCCACUUGAGAGACUGAGGUAGGAGGAUCACAAGUUCCAGGGCAUCCUCAGCAACUUAGCAAGGCCCUGGGCAACAUAGCGAGACCCUACGUCAA